rnacentral:misc_RNA from 1 species
UCUCCGUAGGUGAACCUGCGGAGGGAUCAUUACAGAGUUCGUGCCCUCACGGGUAGAUCUCCCACCCUGUGUUAUUAUACCUUUGUUGCUUUGGCGGGCCGCCCUCGGCUACCGGCCCCGGCUGGUACGCGCCCGCCAGAGGACCCCAAACUCUGAAUGUUAGUGUCGUCUGAGUACUAUACAUUAGUUAAAACUUUCAACAACGGAUCUCUUGGUUCUG